rnacentral:ncRNA from 1 species
UCUUAUCCCGAGCUGGUGGAGGGACAGGCCCUAUGAAACCCGGCAACCUGCGCAGGAACUUCUGCGAGAAGGUGCCAACCUGGAGCAAGGUUAAAUCCUUGGACGAUAAGA